rnacentral:rRNA from 1 species
UACGAAGGGGGCUAGCGUUGCUCGGAAUCACUGGGCGUAAAGGGUGCGUAGGCGGGUCUUUAAGUCAGGGGUGAAAUCCUGGAGCUCAACUCCAGAACUGCCUUUGAUACUGAAGAUCUUGAGUUCGGGAGAGGUGAGUGGAACUGCGAGUGUAGAGGUGAAAUUCGUAGAUAUUCGCAAGAACACCAGUGGCGAAGGCGGCUCACUGGCCCGAUACUGACGCUGAUGCACGAAAGCCAGGGGAGCGAACGGG